UUCUGGUGUGUAUAUCCAUAGA
rnacentral:miRNA from 1 species